rnacentral:rRNA from 1 species
UACGGAGGGGACUAGCGUUGUUCGGAAUUACUGGGCGUAAAGGGCGCGUAGGCGGCCUUCUAAGUCGAACGUGAAAUCCCCGGGCUCAACCCGGGAACUGCGUCCGAUACUGGAAGGCUUGAAUCCGGGAGAGGGAUGUGGAAUUCCAGGUGUAGCGGUGAAAUGCGUAGAUAUCUGGAGGAACACCGGUGGCGAAGGCGACAUCCUGGACCGGUAUUGACGCUGAGGCGUGAAAGCCAGGGGAGCAAACGGG